rnacentral:rRNA from 1 species
UCCGUAANGGGGUACCUGCGGAAGGAUCAUUACUGAAAAACUUUUCAAAGUUUUUUUAUAUCCCAUUGUCUAUCUACCAUGUUGCUUCCACUGGACAUGUUUUACCUUGUGUAAGACCUUUGGCUUGUGUGAAUAACCCAAGUCAGGGAGUUGCCGGUGGUAAGACCAUCUACCAAAACUUGAUUAAAAUACUUUGUCUGAAUCUUUUGCUUCNAUGAAAUAAAACUUUCAACAACGGAUCUCUAGGCUCUUGCAUCGAUGAAGAACGCAGUGAAAUGCGAUAAGUAAUGUGAAUUGCAGAAUCUCGUGAAUCAUCGAAUCUUUGAACGCACAUUGCGCCCUAUGGUAUUCCGUAGGGCAUGCCUGUCUGAGCGUCAGCUCCCACCCACUCAAGUAUCUUUUUUGGGGGAUUCUUGGAAUGAUUUGGANAGGUGUCUUGUCAUANAGACGUCCUUCAGAAAUUCAUAGGCAGUAUGGUUUGCACCUGAACCAGACGUAAUAAUAAUAAAAUCGUUUCUUUGGGAAUAAUUGUGCUUGCCUUAACCCACCCAUUUCUCUCAUUUGGGUGACCUCANAUCAGGNANGGAUACCCGCUGAACUUAANCAUAUCAAUAANCGGAGGAA